rnacentral:tRNA from 1 species
CUAAGGAAGCUGUGGAAUUGGAAGACGCCAUCUUCGGAUGGAUGACCUUUCCCGUGCUUUUUAGAACAAGAUGGCACCAGUCAGGUGACCAUCGAAACGCAAUACGCCGCAUAGAUGCUUGCAUCAUGACGAUAUGGCGAGUGCCGCCGUCCACGUUUCUCUUUCUCACAAGGAUACGAACCACGCCCGCUUGAGCCUUAAGUGUCGAGCGACAUUGAGGUGGUGCGUUGAACCGGAAUGGGCCCGUAGCUCAGGUGGUUAGAGCGCACGCCUGAUAAGCGUGAGGUCGGCAGUUCGAGUCUGCCCGGGCCCACCAUCCCUUCGGUCUGGUGUGCCCAGUCAGUCUCUUUAAGUUUGUUUGUCCUCGCGAUCUUCGAUCGCUGCGGGCAAACGGGCCGGGCCCACGGAGUGAUCCGGUGGGCAUCGAAGAUGGGGCUGUAGCUCAGCUGGGAGAGCACCUGCUUUGCAAGCAGGGGGUCAGCGGUUCGAUCCCGCUCAGCUCCACCAUUUUGGUUUGGACUGGGACGCCGGACGACCGGCGACGGCCUUUGGCCUUGCGAAGCUUUGCUUCGUUUGAGUGCCUAAAGGUUCGGGAAGAGUAUCCUUGGAGAAAUAAAGUUUGCAUCGGCUUUAGGGCCUGAUGCCUGUUCUGAUUACAUUGUGAAGAGAAGAUAUGUCUGGAAGCUUCCAGGUGUUGAGGAUGAUCGAAAGAUUGUCGGAGACGUCCGAGCCCAGAUCCCAGGAAACCAUGGAUGGUCUAGCCGACCGGAAAUGGUGGAGGGUCUGGAGGUAGGAAGGAAGCCUUGUCCUUGAGGCAUGGAUGUUGUUUGGGUGUCCUUCGGGAUGCCCUUCUGGUGUUCAUGCUGGAUUGGUGUUGCCUGACCGCGCAUCACCGGACAGAUCUCGAGAAGCUGGUCUUAAGACAGGCUGCAAGUGAACCGCUCGGCGUGGUUCCAAUAAAGCAGACCUGUCGAACACGUCGAUGGCAUCUCAUAAGGAUUGGGUUGUAAAAGGUAACCCUUUCUGCCGCGCCCCUUCGGGGCGACGGCUAAUGGAUGAGCAUUGGCAAUGAGAAC